rnacentral:rRNA from 1 species
UUUGAACCGCAUGGUUCAGACAUAAAAGGUGGCUUCGGCUACCACUUACAGAUGGACCCGCGGCGCAUUAGCUAGUUGGUGAGGUAACGGCUCACCAAGGCGACGAUGCGUAGCCGACCUGAGAGGGUGAUCGGCCACACUGGGACUGAGACACGGCCCAGACUCCUACGGGAGGCAGCAGUAGGGAAUCUUCCGCAAUGGACGAAAGUCUGACGGAGCAACGCCGCGUGAGUGAUGAAGGUUUUCGGAUCGUAAAGCUCUGUUGUUAGGGAAGAACAAGUGCCGUUCAAAUAGGGCGGCACCUUGACGGUACCUAACCAGAAAGCCACGGCUAACUACGUGCCAGCAGCCGCGGUAAUACGUAGGUGGCAAGCGUUGUCCGGAAUUAUUGGGCGUAAAGGGCUCGCAGGCGGUUUCUUAAGUCUGAUGUGAAAGCCCCCGGCUCAACCGGGGAGGGUCAUUGGAAACUGGGGAACUUGAGUGCAGAAGAGGAGAGUGGAAUUCCACGUGUAGCGGUGAAAUGCGUAGAGAUGUGGAGGAACACCAGUGGCGAAGGCGACUCUCUGGUCUGUAACUGACG